rnacentral:lncRNA from 1 species
CAAGUAGCUGUGUGUGUUUGCGUUCUGUUAGCAUGUGCAAAAACGAGUCAGGAGGAAGACCAGGUCGAGGCACGACAAGCUGCCCGCGUGGAUAGCGUUGGAGCGCGUCCUGGGUGCGAGGCGUGGCGUGCGGAUCGUGGGCGAGGUGGGCGCGUGGACUGCGUCUGUGCGCGUCCUGGGCGCGGCCGUGGCAACGUGUGUGUGUGUUAGAGCGGCUAUAAAAGCCCACCCCUUGUACUCCUGUGUAGUUCUCGUUGUGGGUGUGUGAGCUCGAGUUCGUGCUAGCUUGAGUAGAACCAGCCGUUCGGGCGGCGGGCGUACGUGCGCCGGAAAUCACUGUGUUCUUUCUGUGUUGUGUCUUUCUUC